GGGAUCGGCGGCCAUGUCGGUGGGAGGGAAAGCCCAUUAAAGGAGGGGAGCAGAUGGGCGUCGCCUGAGCUGAGCUGGUGAAGACGAUUUUAGCAGGGAGAUGCGAUGCGAGCGCGAGGUUGGCGACGACGAUGUGGACGGAGGCGACGAGCCGGAAGAGAGAGAGGAGGGGGAAGAGGAGAAAUAGGAAAAGGCUAGUGGGGCUCU
rnacentral:lncRNA from 1 species